GUUCUUUUAGUCUAAUAUAUGGUUUAAUGCCUGGAAUGGAUAUUAUCUUUAAAAGAUAAAGGUACGGGUUCAAGCCCCGUAAAGAACU
rnacentral:tRNA from 1 species